rnacentral:lncRNA from 1 species
GCUGUACUGCAGCAGAGGCAAUUGGAGCCAAUAUUACACAGUCCUUAAGCUAAAAAUGCCAGAGGUAAGCCUGAGACCCAGUGCCGACUAAUUUAAUUAAGAAGAUCUCUGCUGGAAGGUGUCUGGGAAAGAAUUUUCUUCUUAAAGAGAGAUGGAUGAAGGAAGUUCUACAGUGGAACUCUAUCAUAUGUGCAUUAAACUGAAUUGAAAUCAUACGACUCAGCAAAAUCAACAUAACAACUGAUGACAACAAAAACAGCCAUAUAAACAAAAACUGUUGGGCAUUUUAAAAAUACAGAAUGGCUCAAAA